AUCCAGCUGUAGGGUCCAAAGUAGGACGAAAUGCACAUCCCGCAU
rnacentral:hammerhead_ribozyme from 1 species